GAUUAGGAAAAGCCCCACACAGCUUUGGGCCCUGCAAUGUGGGGAGAGCAUCCUGCAUGGUCUGCUGGGCCCAAUAUAACCCCAAGACCCUCAGGUUGUGGGGGGCAUGGGGACCAGAGAUAGUUGGUGGGAGAGGCCGACCCACACUGCUGGGUCACAGAGAGAUGGCAGGAGAGGCCGACCUGAGAUGCUGGGACCGGAGACAGAUAGUGGGAGAGGGCGACCCGCGCUGCUGGGUCACAGAGAGAUGGCGGGAGAGGCCGACCUGAGAUGCUGGGACCAGAGAGAGAUGGCGGGAGAGGCCGACCUGAGAUGCUGGGACCAGAGAGAUGGUGGGAGAGGCCGACCUGAGAUGCUGGGACCAGAGACAGAUGGUGGGAGAGGCCGACCUGAGAUGCUGGGACCAGAGAGAGAUGGUGGGAGAGGCUGACCUGAGAUGCUGGGACCAGAGAGAUGGUGGGAGAGGCCGACGUGAGACGGUGGGACCAGAGAGAGAUGGUGGGAGAGGCCGACCUGAGAUGCUGGGACCAGAGAGAGAGAGUGGGAGAGGCCGACCUGAGAUGCUGGGUCACAGAGAGAUGGCGGGAGAGGCCGACCUGAGAUGCUCGGACCAGAGAGAGAGAGUGGGAGAGGGCGACCUGAGAUGCUGGGUCACAGAGAGAUGGUGGGAGAGGCCGACCUGAGAUGCUGGGACCAGAGAGAGAUGGCGGGAGAGGCCGACCUGAGAUGCUGGGUCACAGAGAGAUGGUGGGAGAGGCCGACCU
rnacentral:lncRNA from 1 species